GGAGGUGUAUCGAAGUGGUCGUAACGAGGCUGACUCGAAAUCAGUUGGCGGGUCAAACCGCCCGGGGGUUCGAAUCCCUCCACCUCCGCCA
rnacentral:tRNA from 1 species